GGCGAACGGGUGAGUAACACGUGGGUGAUCUGCCCUGCACUCUGGGAUAAGCCUGGGAAACUGGGUCUAGUACCGGAUAGGACCAUGCUUUAGUGUGUGUGGUGGAAAGUUUUUCGGUGUAGGAUGAGCUCGCGGCCUAUCAGCUUGUUGGUGGGGUAAUGGCCUACCAAGGCGGCGACGGGUAGCCGGCCUGAGAGGGUGGACGGCCACAUUGGGACUGAGAUACGGCCCAG
rnacentral:rRNA from 1 species